UGAAGAAGAUCGAGGAGGAGACAGGGACCAGAUUACCAUCUCCUCGGUGUAUGACGUAACCAUUUACAACAGUGAGAGGACCGUCACGGUGAAGGGCAGCAUGGAGGCGUGUUGUAAUGCCGAGGUGGAGAUCACGAAGAAAUUGAGAGAAGCCACGAGAAUGACAUUGUUGCUAUGAACCAACAAGCCAAUCUUUUCCCACCUUGAGUGCUUUGGGCAUCUUCUCCUCGGGUCUGCCGGUGCUGCCCCCCUGCUGCUGGACCACGUGGUACAGUGCC